UGGGGAAUUUUGACAAUGGGCGAAAGCCUGAUCCAGCAAUGCCGCGUGUGUGAAGAAGGCCUUCGGGUUGUAAAGCACUUUUGUCCGGAAAGAAAUCCUUGGCUCUAAUACAGUCGGGGGAUGACGGUACCGGAAGAAUAAGCACCGGCUAACUACGUGCCAGCAGCCGCGGUAAUACGUAGGGUGCAAGCGUUAAUCGGAAUUACUGGGCGUAAAGCGUGCGCAGGCGGUUUGCUAAGACCGAUGUGAAAUCCCCGGGCUCAACCUGGGAACUGCAUUGGUGACUGGCAGGCUAGAGUAUGGCAGAGGGGGGUAGAAUUCCACGUGUAGCAGUGAAAUGCGUAGAGAUGUGGAGGAAUACCGAUGGCGAAGGCAGCCCCCUGGGCCAAUACUGACGCUCAUGCACGAAAGCGUGGGGGAGCAAACAGGAUUCAGAUACCCUGGUAGUCCACGCCCUAAACGAU
rnacentral:rRNA from 1 species